GAGCUCGUAGGCGGUUUGUCGCGUCUGCCGUGAAAGUCCGAGGCUCAACCUCGGAUCUGCGGUGGGUACGGGCAGACUAGAGUGAUGUAGGGGAGACUGGAAUUCCUGGUGUAGCGGUGAAAUGCGCAGAUAUCAGGAGGAACACCGAUGGCGAAGGCAGGUCUCUGGGCAUUUACUGACGCUGAGGAGCGAAAGCAUGGGGAGCGAACAGGAUUAGAUACCCUGGUAGUCCAUGCCGUAAACGUUGGGCACUAGGUGUGGGGGACAUUCCACGUUUUCCGCGCCGUAGCUAACGCAUUAAGUGCCCCGCCUGGGGAGUACGGCCGCAAGGCUAAAACUCAAAGGAAUUGACGGGGGCCCGCACAAGCGGCGGAGCAUGCGGAUUAAUUCGAUGCAACGCGAAGAACCUUACCAAGGCUUGACAUGUUCCAGACCGCCUCAGAGAUGGGGUUUCCCUUCGGGGCUGGUUCACAGGUGGUGCAUGGUUGUCGUCAGCUCGUGUCGUGAGAUGUUGGGUUAAGUCCCGCAACGAGCGCAACCCUCGUUCCAUGUUGCCAGCGGGUUAUGCCGGGGACUCAUGGGAGACUGCCGGGGUCAACUCGGAGGAAGGUGGGGAUGACGUCAAAUCAUCAUGCCCCUUAUGUCUUGGGCUUCACGCAUGCUACAAUGGCCGGUACAAUGGGUUGCGAUACUGUGAGGUGGAGCUAAUCCCUAAAAGCCGGUCUCAGUUCGGAUUGGGGUCUGCAACUCGACCCCAUGAA
rnacentral:rRNA from 1 species